rnacentral:rRNA from 1 species
AGAGUUUGAUCCUGGCUCAGACCGAACGCUGGCGGCGUGGCUAAAACAUGCAAGUCGAACGCGAACGUUUUCUUCGGAGAACAACUAGAGUGGCGAAAGGGUGAGGAAUACUUGGGUAACGUACCCUGGGCACGAGGAUAGCUGUGGGAAACUGCAGGUAAUACUCGGUAAUGCCCCGGUGUCAUCAGAUACCGGGGCCAAAUGAUGGGGAUCCUUCGGGACCUAUCGGCCUUUGAGCGGCCCAAGUCCUAUCAGCUUGUUGGUGAGGUAACGGCUCACCAAGGCAUCGACGGGUACCGGGACUGAGAGGUUGGCCCGGCACAUUGGGACUGAGACACUGCCCAGACUCCUACGGGAGGCUGCAGUAACGAAUAUUCCGCAAUGGGCGAAAGCCUGACGGAGCGACGCCGCGUGUGGGAAGAAGCUCUUCGGGGUGUAAACCACUGUCAGGGAUUACCAAGCAAUGAGGGCAAAUAGUUCUCGGCGUUGAGGAGUCCCAGAGGAAGCCACGGCUAACUUCGUGCCAGCAGCCGCGGUAAGACGAAGGUGGCUAGCGUUGUUCGGAAUCACUGGGCUUAAAGAGCACGUAGGCGGCCUGUCAAGUGUCGUGUGGAAUCCCUCGGCUCAACCGAGGAAUGGCAUGGCAAACUGGCAGGCUUGAGGCAGGUAGAGGCGCGUGGAACUCUUGGUGGAGCGGUGGAAUGCGUAGAUAUCAAGAGGAACGCCAGCGGCGAAAGCGAUGCGCUGGGCCUGUCCUGACGCUGAGGUGCGAAAGCCAGGGGAGCGAACGGGAUUAGAUACCCCGGUAGUCCUGGCCCUAAACGAUGUCCACUAGGUCGAUGUAUUUCUGACAAUUUGUCGGCCGAAACAAAAGCGUUAAGUGGACCGCCUGGGGAGUACGGUCGCAAGGCUAAAACUCAAAGGAAUUGACGGGGGCUCACACAAGCGGUGGAGCAUGUUGCUUAAUUCGAUGCAACGCGAAGAACCUUAUCCUGGGCUUGACAUGCUUGGAUGCCUACCUGGAAACAGGAUCGGCUGCCCUUCGGGGUGAAACUUGCACAGGUGCUGCAUGGCUGUCGUCAGCUCGUGUCGUGAGAUGUUGGGUUAAGUCCCGUAACGAGCGAAACCCUUGUUGUUAGUUGCCAGCGAGUAAUGUCGGGGACUCUAGCGAGACUGCCGGUGUUAAACCGGAGGAAGGUGGGGAUGACGUCAAGUCCUCAUGGCCUUUAUGCCCAGGGCUGCAAACGUGCUACAAUGGCUGGGACAAACCGACGCAAAACCGCGAGGUCGAGCAAAUCGGAAAAACCCGGCCCCAGUUCGGAUUGGAGUCUGCAACUCGACUCCAUGAAGUUGGAAUCGCUAGUAAUCGCGUAUCAGCUACGACGCGGUGAAUGUGUUCCUGAGCCUUGUACACACCGCCCGUCAAGUCAUGGAAGCUGGUAGCACCCGAAGUCGCCACAAUUCAGUGGUGCCGAAGGUGAGAUUGGUGACUGGGACUAAGUCGUAACAAGGUA